GCCAGGUGUGCUGGCGCACGCCUGUAAUUCCAGCUACUCAGGAGGCUGAGGUGGGAGGAUUGUUCUAGCCCAGGAGGUGGAGGCUGCAGUGAGCCGAGAUCGUGCCACUGCACUCCAGCCUGGGCAACAGAGCGAGACUCUGUCUCAA
ensembl:misc_RNA Metazoa_SRP Metazoan signal recognition particle RNA